AGAACGAACGUUAGCGGCGCGCUUAACACAUGCAAGUCGAGCGAGAAAGGGCUUCGGCCCCGGUAAAGCGGCGCACGGGUGAGUAACACGUAGGUAAUCUGCCUCUUGGCGGUGGAUAACCUUCCGAAAGGAGGGCUAAUACAGCAUAAGACCACGCGGUCGUGAGAUCGUGGGGUAAAAGCCGGCCUCUUCAUGAAAGCUGGCACCGAGAGAUGAGCCUGCGGCCCAUCAGCUAGUUGGUAGGGUAAUGGCCUACCAAGGCGAAGACGGGUAGCUGGUCUGAGAGGAUGAUCAGCCACACUGGAACUGAGACACGGUCCAGACUCCUACGGGAGGCAGCAGUGGGAAUCUGCGCAAUGGGCGAAAGCCUGACGCAGCGACGCCGCGUGAGUGAUGAAGCCUUCGGUGUAAAGCUCUGUGGAGGGGACGAAGUAAGGGCGUUCGAAGUAGACGCACGAUGACGUACCCCGUUAGCGAAGCACCGCUAACUCGUGU
rnacentral:rRNA from 1 species